rnacentral:rRNA from 1 species
GAUGAACGCUGGCGGCGUGCCUAAUACAUGCAAGUCGAGCGAAUGGAUUAAGAGCUUGCUCUUAUGAAGUUAGCGGCGGACGGGUGAGUAACACGUGGGUAACCUGCCCAUAAGACUGGGAUAACUCCGGGAAACCGGGGCUAAUACCGGAUAACAUUUGAACCGCAUGGUUCGAAAUUGAAAGGCGGCUUCGGCUGUCACUUAUGGAUGGACCCGCGUCGCAUUAGCUAGUUGGUGAGGGACCGGCUCACCAAGGCAACGAUGCGUAGCCGAGCGGGGAGGGGGAUCGGCAACACUGGGAAUGAGACACGGCCCAGACUCCUACGGGAGGCAGCAGUAGGGAAUCUUCCGCAAUGGACGAAAGUCUGACGGAGCAACGCCGCGUGAGUGAUGAAGGCUUUCGGGUCAUAAAACUCUGUUGUUAGGGAAGAACAAGUGCUAGUUGAAUAAGCUGGCACCUUGACGGUACCUAACCAGAAAGCCACGGCUAACUACGUGCCAGCCGCCGCCGUAA